rnacentral:tRNA from 1 species
AAUUAAUAUUGUUCCAGAAAAAGGAUUGGAUACAUUUUCGAAAAAAGUAUAUUUUU